UGAGAGGAUUGGGAUGUCCUCUGGGUGG
rnacentral:sRNA from 1 species